rnacentral:rRNA from 1 species
UACGUAGGCAGCGAGCGUUGUUCGGAAUUAUUGGGCGUAAAGAGUGUGUAGGCGGUGCUCCAAGUCUGUUGUGAAAUCUCACGGCUUAACUGUGAGCGUGCGGGCGAUACGGGCAGACUAGAGUACUGCAGGGGAGACUGGAAUUCCUGGUGUAGCGGUGGAAUGCGCAGAUAUCAGGAGGAACACCGGUGGCGAAGGCGGGUCUCUGGGCAGUAACUGACGCUGAGGAGCGAAAGCGUGGGGAGCGAACAGG